UACGUAGGGUGCAAGCGUUAAUCGGAAUUACUGGGCGUAAAGCGUGCGCAGGCGGUUCGUUAAGUUCGUUGUGAAAGCCCCGGGCUCAACCUGGGAACUGCAAUGGAAACUGGCGGGCUUGAGUGUGGCAGAGGGGGGUGGAAUUCCGCGUGUAGCAGUGAAAUGCGUAGAGAUGCGGAGGAACACCGAUGGCGAAGGCAGCCCCCUGGGCCAACACUGACGCUCAGGCACGAAAGCGUGGGGAGCAAACAGG
rnacentral:rRNA from 1 species